UACGGAGGAUUCAAGCGUUAUCCGGAUUUAUUGGGUUUAAAGGGUGCGUAGGCGGUCGGAUAAGUUAGAGGUGAAAUCCCGGGGCUCAACUUCGGAAUUGCCUCUGAUACUGUUCAGCUAGAGAGUAGUUGCGGUAGGCGGAAUGUAUGGUGUAGCGGUGAAAUGCUUAGAGAUCAUACAGAACACCGAUUGCGAAGGCAGCUUACCAAGCUACUUCUGACGUUGAGGCACGAAAGCGUGGGGAGCAAACAGG
rnacentral:rRNA from 1 species